GAACGCUGGCGGCGUGCCUAAUACAUGCAAGUAGAACGCUGAAGGAGGAGCUUGCUUCUCUGGAUGAGUUGCGAACGGGUGAGUAACGCGUAGGUAACCUGCCUGGUAGCGGGGGAUAAUUAUUGGAAACGAUAGCUAAUACCGCAUAAUAGUAGAUGUUGCAUGACAUUUGCUUAAAAGGUGCAAUUGCAUCACUACCAGAUGGACCUGCGUUGUAUUAGCUAGUUGGUGGGGUAACGGCUCACCAAGGCGACGAUACAUAGCCGACCCGAGAGGGUGAUCGGCCACACUGGGACUGAGACACGGCCCAGACUCCUACGGGAGGCAGCAGUAGGGAAUCUUCGGCAAUGGACGGAAGUCUGACCGAGCAACGCCGCGUGAGUGAAGAAGGUUUUCGGAUCGUAAAGCUCUGUUGUAAGAGAAGAACGAGUGUGAGAGUGGAAAGUUCACACUGUGACGGUAUCUUACCAGAAAGGGACGGCUAACUACGUGCCAGCCGCCGCGGUAA
rnacentral:rRNA from 1 species